GACGAACUGUUCUAACGUUAUUCGGAAUCACUGGGCUUAAAGGGCGCGUAGGCUGUUUGUUAAGCGGGGUCUGAAAUCCCUCGGCUCAACCGAGGAACUGGGCUUCGAACUGGCAGACUAGAGUGAAGUAGGGGUAAGCGGAACUUGCGGUGGAGCGGUGAAAUGCUUUGAUAUCGCAAGGAACACCGGCGGCGAAGGCGGCUUACUGGGCUUCAACUGACGCUAAAGCGCGAAAGCUAGGGUAGCGAACGGGAUUAGAUACCCGGGUAGUCCCUGAGCGGGCUGG
rnacentral:rRNA from 1 species